UACGUAGGGUGCGAGCGUUAAUCGGAAUUACUGGGCGUAAAGCGUGCGCAGGCGGCUUCGCAAGUCAGACGUGAAAUCCCCGGGCUCAACCUGGGAAUUGCGAUGGAGACUGCAAGGCUAGAAUCUGGCAGAGGGGGGUAGAAUUCCACGUGUAGCAGUGAAAUGCGUAGAGAUGUGGAGGAACACCGAUGGCGAAGGCAGCCCCCUGGGUCAAGAUUGACGCUCAUGCACGAAAGCGUGGGGAGCAAACAGG
rnacentral:rRNA from 1 species